AGGACCCAGGGAUAUCUUUCUCAAGGACCUGAAAAACCAACUCUUUGAAAUGCAAAUACCAAGGAAUGUGAUGCUCCAUCUCCCAAUUUCUGUGUGAGGGACAAGGUAUCAUUCAGCCAUCCAAGGAAUAAAGAAUCCACUUGUCCUAGAACACGGCUGAAGUAUGAAAACACGUGGCUGAGUGACAGACGCCACAGAGAAAAAUGGUCCCAUAUUGUGAUGACACCAUGGACAUGGAACGUCUGGAAGAGGGAAAUCCACAGACACAGAAAGCAGCUGACGUGCUGGCGUGCUGGCGACCGUUAAUCAAGUCAAAUGCAAAGCCACCUACACGGGGGUGCCAUCCUCCAGGCCCAUCCCCACCUGGACCCCCUGUGGAAUCCAGCUCCUGCCUGUCGGCCACAUCCUUCCUAACCACCCGACCCACCUCGGGGUCCCCUUGUUCCUCUCGUUGUCCGCACCGGCUGUGACCCGGGCACACAGGUCUGCAUUAUGCGUGCACAUCUCCCGCUUAUAGAUCUCUCCUGCCCAUGACAGGGACGCUGCUAAUAGCUGGCUGCCCCUCCACCCACCAAGACCCUAUUUCCAAAUAAGGUCCUGUGGGGAGGUUCCAGGAGUUAGGACUUGAAAACUGGGGGGGUCCCAGCUGAACCCACACAACGGGAGGGCGCAUUACACACAUGGAUGUAGGGACAGUAAUUGUAAGCAUCUAUGCUCUUAAGAUACACCAUGCUUGGUGUGAAAAGGCAGGUAGAUGUGCGUUAAUAGCCGUAUCCGAAAUGUCUCAGCCCCCUUAUGUUCAUGGGAAGACUUGACCCCGGGACUCCCUGCAAGGCUCAUGCAGCAUCAGCAGCACGGAGGGUAAAUGAAAGCCAGGGUCCCCCCACUUCCUUGGUGCAGAGGCAGCCCGAUGCCCGGUCCGUGUCCCACCUCAACAUUUGGCUUCAGAGCAGCCUCCCUCCACGUCUAUGGGAUUCCGACUCCUGCCAUGGGUGGCUGUGACCCAUGGGAACAGGGCGUCCCAGUGGGUUCAUGACGAAGACGCCCGGGGGGGGGCGGGCCACAGGACCAGUGGGGGGAGCUUUCCUCAGGCUGUGCUCCUGUGGGAGCUGGUUUCCUCUACUCAGUUUCCAAGGCUUUUAUGCCUUAAUGACUCCGGCGGGGGGAAGGCAACUCGAUUGAAAAGAAAAGCAAGCAAACCACAAACACCAUUCACAAACCAAACAAGCUCCGGUGUUUUCUAAGAAGUUACUAGAAAGCUGUACGUUGGCUAAUCGAAUUUAAAUAAAUAAAAAU